rnacentral:lncRNA from 1 species
UCAUGGCUGUUUAUGCGGUGGCUCGCUGCUCAGGACAUGAGGACUCUAUCGGGAAGCAGAGUGACAAUGGCCUCCUUGAGGACUGAGGCCCCUGGAUAAAUGAGGCCCAGAUCCAGAUCCA